rnacentral:lncRNA from 1 species
CCAGAGGGGCUACAGUGAGCAGCAGAGCCAGCGAGUCUUGCCUAAGACCCCAUCUUACCAUUCCCUGGUUGGGGAAACUGAAGCUCUUGGAGAGUGAGGCAACAUAAUCCCGACCACGUGAGACAGAGAGGAACAGAAUCCACUCUUCCGGCCGGGCCGUGGUUCAGCAUGAGCCGAAGAGAUGGGGCUUGGCUCUAAGAGGGGCAGAGACCAGAAAGGGUGAGGUUUGAGAGCCACUCACUGGGGAGAAUCUGCAAGACCUGAGGCCUGGCCGACCCUAAAGGGAAAGACAAGCGGCAUCAAAGAGAUGAAAAAAUGGAGUCUGGAUGAGGAUACACUGUUUGAAACUGGCACUGCCCCAUACCUCCAACACCACCCUGACCCUCACCAGCCACCCUCCUAUAUGCAACUUUGACCUGGA